rnacentral:rRNA from 1 species
GAUGAACGCUGGCGGCGUGCCUAAUACAUGCAAGUCGAGCGAACGGACGAGAAGCUUGCUUCUCUGAUGUUAGCGGCGGACGGGUGAGUAACACGUGGAUAACCUACCUAUAAGACUGGGAUAACUUCGGGAAACCGGAGCUAAUACCGGAUAAUAUUUUGAACCGCAUGGUUCAAAAGUGAAAGACGGUCUUGCUGUCACUUAUAGAUGGAUCCGGGCUGCAUUAGCUAGUUGGUAAGGUAACGGCUUACCAAGGCAACGAUGCAUAGCCGACCUGAGAGGGUGAUCGGCCACACUGGAACUGAGACACGGUCCAGACUCCUACGGGAGGCAGCAGUAGGGAAUCUUCCACAAUGGGCGAAAGCCUGACGGAGCAACGCCGCGUGAGUGAUGAAGGUCUUCGGAUCGUAAAACUCUGUUAUUAGGGAAGAACAUAUGUGUAAGUAACUGUGCACAUCUUGACGGUGCCUAAUCAGAAAGCCACGGCUAACUACGUG